rnacentral:rRNA from 1 species
CCUACGGGUGGCAGCAGUGGGGAAUAUUGGACAAUGGGGGCAACCCUGAUCCAGCCAUGCCGCGUGUGUGAAGAAGGCCCUCGGGUUGUAAAGCACUUUCAGUGAGGAAGAACGCCUGGUGGUUAAUACCCAUCAGGAAAGACAUCACUCACAGAAGAAGCACCGGCUAACUCCGUGCCAGCAGCCGCGGUAAUACGGAGGGUGCGAGCGUUAAUCGGAAUUACUGGGCGUAAAGCGCGCGUAGGUGGCUUGAUAAGCCGGUUGUGAAAGCCCCGGGCUCAACCUGGGAACGGCAUCCGGAACUGUCAAGCUAGAGUGCAGGAGAGGAAGGUAGAAUUCCCGGUGUAGCGGUGAAAUGCGUAGAGAUCGGGAGGAAUACCAGUGGCGAAGGCGGCCUUCUGGACUGACACCGACACUGAGGUGCGAAAGCGUGGGUAGCAAACAGGAUUAGAUACCCGAGUAGUC